rnacentral:rRNA from 1 species
UACGGAGGGUGCAAGCGUUAUCCGGAUUCACUGGGUUUAAAGGGUGCGUAGGUGGGUUGGUAAGUCAGUGGUGAAAUCCCCGAGCUUAACUUGGGAACUGCCAUUGAUACUAUCAGUCUUGAAUACCGUGGAGGUCAGUGGAAUAUGUCAUGUAGCGGUGAAAUGCUUAGAUAUGACAUAGAACACCAAUUGCGAAGGCAGCUGGCUACACGAAUAUUGACACUGAUGCACGAAAGCGUGGGGAUCAAACAGGA